CAGCGUUAUGUGUAGUUGUUUACCAGUGGUCUGAGAGGGGAGGAACAGUAUGAUAUUAUAGUGGAUUCUCUUUCACCUUUGUCUCUAUGGAUCUACUGUAGAUAUGGUAAAUAGGUGAUAAGUGACGGUGUGGUGGCGGGCGGUGACUGUCAACAGGUAAGCUGGGAGCGGUGGAGAGCGUCAUGACGGGCGGGAAAAGGUAAAGUGUUUUUCGACGUAUUUUAUUGGACAUCGAGUUAAGCGUCUUAACCUGGUGGCGGCGACGGUCACCUAACAUACA